GACGAACGCUGGCGGCGUGCCUAAUACAUGCAAGUCGAGCGAAGCGGCGGAUGGGUUAGUAACGAGUGGGUAACCUCCCCCUAAGUCUGGGAUACCUCUCGGAAACAUAUGCUAAUACCGGAUACUGAAGGAUGGACCUGCGAUGCAUUAGCUCGUUGGUAAGGUAACGGCUUACCAAGGCGUUAAUGCAUAGCCGAGUUGAGAGACUGAUCGGCCACAUUGGGACUGAGACACGGCCCAAACUCCUACGGGAGGCAGCAGUAGGGAAUCUUCCACAAUGGACGAAAGUCUGAUGGAGCAACGCCGCGUGAGUGAAGAAGGUUUUCGGAUCGUAAAGCUCUGUUGUUGGUGAAGCGGUAAUCAACCAGAAAGACACGGCUAACUACGUGCCAGCAGCCGCGGUAAUAC
rnacentral:rRNA from 1 species